rnacentral:rRNA from 1 species
AUACGAAAGGUGCAAGCGUUGUUCGGAUUUACUGGGCGUAAAGAGAGUGUAGGUGGUUUAUUAAGUCGGAUGUGAAAUCCCGGGGCUCAGCCUCGGAACUGCAUUCGAUACUGAUAGGCUAGAGUUUGGGAGGGGUAAGCGGAAUUCCGUGUGUAGCAGUGAAAUGCGUAGAUAUACGGAGGAACACCUGAGGCGAAGGCGGCUUACUGGACCAAUACUGACACUGAGACUCGAAAGCGUGGGUAGCAAACAGGAUUAGAAACCCUAGUAGUCC